AAAAAAAUAGAGAAAAGCAGAUAGAGAGAGAGCUGCAGAUUUUGGAGUAAAACCAAUAAUGCUCCGGUGGCCAUAUCUCUGGACUCCACCGUUGGAUCAUGCUAAGUUUUGGAUAUGUUGUUCUUAUUACACUCCUCGACUAACGGACCGGAGGGAUUGGAAGUAAAACAAUCCAUUUCACAGAAAUAAUCAUCGGACAUUUCCUGAAAAACAAAAAGGAAAUGCACCUGCAGGGCAGUUUGGUCGCCGGCCGAUUUCUCUCUUUUCCACCGUUGGAUCGUGCUUAUUCUUGGCUAUGUGGUGAGACUAGAUGUUGUCUUCAUUCUGGACGGUGGAGAUCGGAAUCCCAUUUUCCGGCAAGGUUUCGUGCGCGUUGAACAGUAGCUCGUCCGUUUCAGGGGAAGCUGUGGGGACUGGACAAUUACAUGGAGUGGCAGCACGUGCACCUAUUCUAGGUCUAUCAGGGUCGCGUCAAGGGUAAUACUAGUUUAGUUAUCUUUUGCUUUUGAUCAUGUAAAUUAUUUGUAAAUUAAAAGACUUAUCUCCUAAAACUUGAGAUGUAAUAUCAAUCCGUAAAUUUGAAUGUAUGUCUUUAAUCUAAUGGUUGAAACUCUUAGUACCUAUUUGACCAUGCAUGUUUAUAGUUGAAAUUGAAUGUUUCAUUUGAACUACAUUAUAUGAUGUUAUUGAAUAAGAUGUGUUGUGUUGAUGAUAA